CACUGAGAUUCGCACACCCUCCUCUCCUCAUGAUCUCCUCUCAACUCCGUCAUUUUCUCUGGCCUCUCAACUCCAUCAUCGUUUUCUCUGGCCUCAAACCUCUUCUGCAACACUCAAACCUCCCAAACCUCCCCGUCUUCUUCCCCGUUCACCAUGAAAACCGUCAAAAUUCAAAGUCUGAUCAAACAAGUACGAAUUGCAAAUUAGGAGGGGAGGCGAUUGCGAUGGCUAGGUAAAUUAGGAGGGGAGGCGAUGGAGAUGGCUAGGUAACAUUGUAGGGCUGUUGGAGAUCCGUCAGGUUUUCCGUCAAUCUCCACAGAUCUGAUUGUUGAAUUCAAAUUGAAAUUCAGCCUUCUAUCAAUUCUCAGACAAAAUCUUGAAAACCAAUAAAUUUCUCACAUGGGGUUUAUGCAACUACUGGAAGAAAUCUAAACUUCCUCAUGCAACACUUUUUAAGCCACAACAGCGUUACGAGAGUUCUCUAAUGGUUAGCUGUAAAGAUAUGCCCGAAACUGCACUGGACCUUAUUGAAACUUUACUCUCCGUGGAGCCGUAUUGGAAAUGCUUCUUCUACUCUGUGUUCUGAUGUAUUAGUAGUACUUAAUUUUAUUCAACAUUCAUCCCUUUUAAAUAUUUGUUGAUUCAAAUGCAUCCCUUUUAAAUAUUUCCUUCUCUUUGUAGUUUAUU